rnacentral:rRNA from 1 species
AGGACGAACGCUGGCGGCGUGCUUAACACAUGCAAGUCGAGCGGUAAGGUCUUUCGGGGUACACGAGCGGCGAACGGGUGAGUAACACGUGGGUGAUCUGCCCUGCACUCUGGGAUAAGCCUGGGAAACUGGGUCUAAUACCGGAUAUGACCUGCUCUCGCAUGGGGGUGGGUGGAAAGAUUUAUCGGUGCAGGAUGGGCCCGCGGCCUAUCAGCUUGUUGGUGGGGUAAUGGCCUACCAAGGCGACGACGGGUAGCCGACCUGAGAGGGUGACCGGCCACACUGGGACUGAGACACGGCCCAGACUCCUACGGGAGGCAGCAGUGGGGAAUAUUGCACAAUGGGCGAAAGCCUGAUGCAGCGACGCCGCGUGAGGGAUGAAGGCCUUGGGUUGUAAACCUCUUUCAGCAGGACGAAGCGCAAGUGACGUACCUGCAGAAGAAGCACCGGCUAACUACGUGCCAGCAGCCGC